GACGUAGGGGGCGAGCGUUGUCCGGAUUUAUUGGGCGUAAAGAGCUCGUAGGCGGUCUGUCGCGUCGGCUGUGAAAACCCGAGGCUCAACCUCGGGCCUGCAGUCGAUACGGGCAAACUAGAGUACUGCAGGGGAGACUGGAAUUCCUGGUGUAGCGGUGAAAUGCGCAGAUAUCAGGAGGAACACCGGUGGCGAAGGCGGGUCUCUGGGCAGUAACUGACGCUGAGGAGCGAAAGCGUGGGGAGCGAACAGG
rnacentral:rRNA from 1 species